ACAGUUCUUGCUUUCAAGGAGCUCACCGGCUAAUGGGAGAUCCAAUUUGUAUGUCAAAAGCUGCAAUGCAUAAUGCGAUAAACUCCCGGACUCAUUGAAGUGCAAACUUCAAUGAGAAGAAACAGAAAGGAGAUGAUGUUGGGAAAGGCUUUUUUACUAAAGUCUUUCUUGCUUGAAGUCUGAAAUCCUAGAAAU
rnacentral:lncRNA from 1 species